AACAAGGGUGAUUUUGAUUAUUCAUACAUAAAAAAUAGUAAAAAUAUUUUAUGGAUGAUUGUACACGCAUCUUAAAAAGAAAAUGGACAACGUAUCGAUCUGCCCUCUCUUACCGACUAAACGUCGAAAAUACUGGUUUAUUUAAGUUCCAACUCUAUAGGAACAAAUGUAUAUGUAACAUUGAUGUAUAUAUUACGGUCCACGAACAUCCACGAUUUGCCGCGCCGAAACAAUCUGUAUGUGUGCGUACAUGUACGUGUGUUCUGUUAAAAGGAGUGGGUUGAGAGAGAAGGGAGAGACGAAAGCAGGAUAAUAUUAACAUCG